rfam:Bacillus sp. FJAT-22058 super1, whole genome shotgun sequence.
CUCUUAUCAAGAGUGGCGGAGGGACUGGCCCUAAGAUGCCCAGCAACCGUUCCAUUAGGAAUUGGUGCUAAAUCCUGCAAAACAGAAAUGUUUUGACAGAUAAGAG